AAAGAUUUAUCGGUGAUGGAUGGGGAUGCGUCUGAUUAGCUUGUUGGCGGGGUAACGGCCCACCAAGGCAACGAUCAGUAGGGGUUCUGAGAGGAAGGUCCCCCACAUUGGAACUGAGACACGGUCCAAACUCCUACGGGAGGCAGCAGUGAGGAAUAUUGGUCAAUGGGCGAGAGCCUGAACCAGCCAAGUAGCGUGCAGGAAGACGGCCCUAUGGGUUGUAAACUGCUUUUAUAGGGGAAUAAAGUGAGCCACGUGUGGUUUUUUGCAUGUACCCUAUGAAUAAGGACCGGCUAAUUCCGUGCCAGCAGCCGCGGUAAUACGGAAGGUCCGGGCGUUAUCCGGAUUUAUUGGGUUUAAAGGGAGCGUAGGCCGGAGAUUAAGCGUGUUGUGAAAUGUAGAUGCUCAACAUCUGAACUGCAGCGCGAACUGGUUUCCUUGAGUACGCAUAAAGUGGGCGGAAUUCGUGGUGUAGCGGUGAAAUGCUUAGAUAUCACGAAGAACUCCGAUUGCGAAGGCAGCUCACUGGGGCGCAACUGACGCUGAAGCUCGAAAGCGCGGGUAUCGAACAGGAUUAGAUACCCUGGUAGUCCGCGCGGUAAACGAUGGAUGCCCGCUGUUGGGCCAACUGGUUCAGCGGCCAAGCGAAAGCAUUAAGCAUCCCACCUGGGGAGUAC
rnacentral:rRNA from 1 species